CUGGAGCAUUUCAGUAAAGGGGGCUUCUAUUCUCAAUUCAAAAGAAUAAACAUUUCCCAGUCAUGUUUGCGUAAAAUUCAACGGGAUUGAACAAUCGGCAAAUGUCACAGACAAGCUGCAAAAAUUUCAAUCGAUCGAUGGAUGGCCUUUGUAUAAAACUCGGAUAUCUAUAUAGUUCUCCAGGCACCCGCACUUUUCUAGAAUAAUCCCCCGCUGGCCGAGCUCUAUCCUUCUCGACGAUGAUUCCUUGAUUCCUUUCAACGGAAUAGGAUUUGUUUUUUAACAUAAAAGAAAAUGGCAAAGAAGAAGAAGUCGGCAAGCAUUGUGCGUUGUGCGUGGAGGACAAUGCUCCAAGUCUUUAAAAAAGUAGCUGCCCGAAGGACGAGAACUGAUCAUGCGUGGUGUUAUGUACGCUCCUUGCAGCCUGUUGAGGAAACAUCUGCCCCGCUCAAUUUUUUUCUCUCCUCUUCUUUUUAUGCCUCGUCUUCUCGUUGUUCGUCUUCUUGGUAUUGUUGCUGUUGCUGCCGUACGCACGCAGGACCUCUUGGAACAGGAUACUUACAAAAAUGAUUGGAGAAGCGGAGCAGGCUGUACAUGUGCUGUGCUGCUUAUUCUGUACAGUCCUCGAGAAAGGACUCGCCUGUCAUCUAGGAACAAUGUCAAGGUCAAGCGGAGCGCGUGUCCGUCCCCGCCUACGAAAAUUUCCACGCAGUUUUUUAAUAGAAAAAAUCUCUCAAUUUGGUAAGGCACACGCAGGAUAUGCGUAUCCUGCUUUACGCCGCAUGUGCGGCAUGUGCUCCUUCCUCCGCAGGCAGCUGUCACCGGCAAUGAUCGUCCUGUCAUUUCAUCCUUGGAGCGUGCGUAGUCUCAAAAGAGAACUAACAAAAAACGUGGCCAGCAAGUACGCAGAAUGGGGAAAAAAUGAUUUGAUAUUUUUUAGUCUAUUUCCUGCGGAUCAGCUGCCGUCAAUUAACAUAUUGUCCUGCGCCCACAUAAUGUCCUCCGCCAGCAGAUGUCUCCGCUCCACCUCUCAAAUUUAUAUUUCAAUUCAGUUUUGGACAAUAUUUGGCUCCUGCCAAUCCUUUCGUUAUGCCAAUCGACAAUUGCCACCGUUUGACGCAAGCCUGUCGCACAAUGACAGGAUUAUCCUGUAGUCCUGGACAAUCCUUUCAUUGUUGUCUAGAUUUUGAUACGUUGCCUGUAUUUGCUCAAUGGCCUUUGAUAAUUUUGCAACUGUUUGGAUCUCGAUUAAAUAGGGGAAAUUGUUUUGGCAGAUGGUUUCAAGGGGUUUGGUUUGAAAAUCAGUUCACCAAUCCGUUUUAUGAAAUAGUGGUGUUUGGAGAAUUAUUCAUAAAAUAUUUUAUCUUUUCGUAAGUAUGUAUUAUUUUGAAAAAUGUUAG